rnacentral:lncRNA from 1 species
GAAAUACUGUUUUUUUUCCAGGCAGAAGCCAACUCCAGUUAGAAGCAGCUGGAUGUGUACAGAAAAAUCUUGAAAACCAGCAUUACAUGUGGAAAGAAGGGGAUUCAGCAUUAAGCGAGAUGGUGGCUUGCCAUUUUGUACUCACCCAAUUAGUGUGCUCCUUCUUCCGUUUGCUCACUGUGUCUUUCCAGGCUUCAUAAUCUCUGGAUGGUCCUGGCAAAGGAUAAGACCUCAUGGCUUGCCAUCGUCCCAGGAGCCUGCUCUAGAAGGUAACCACAGGACUUCUGAAAAAAAAAAAGAAUGAAGACAGCAACACAGUAUCUG